rnacentral:rRNA from 1 species
AUUCCAGCUCCAAUAGCGUAUAUUAAAGUUGCUGCAGUUAAAAAGCUCGUAGUUGGAUUCGUGGCGCGGCCGUCCGGCGGGGCUCCUUCAUUGGGGCCGUUUGUCUGGUUUUUCGGCCGCUCCAUUCUCGGGUAGUGUGUCGCUGGCAUUAGGUUGUCGGCUUCUUCACGCCCGUCGUUUACUGUGAAAAAAUUAGAGUGUUCAAAGCAGGCUUAGGCCAUUGGAUACAUUAGCAUGGAAUAAUGAGAUAGGGCCACGACGGUCUAUUUUGUUGGUUUGCACGUUGUGGUAAUGAUUAACAGGAACGGUUGGGGGUAUUCGUAUUCAAUUGUCAGAGGUGAAAUUCUUGGAUUUAUGGAAGACGAACUACUGCGAAAGCAUUUACCAAGGAUGUUUUCAUUG